GAAUCGUAGUAGCGUUGCCGGCCCGUUUACGAGCAUGACGCAUGAGCCAGCCAUCGACUCCCUCAACGACAAGUGAUCCAGCCGUUCCACAGAGCACUGUCAGAGUAUUGUUCCCAGACAGCGACGAAUGGCUGACGUUAGUACUAAACCAUCAGGAAUGGCACUGUUAACCUCAAAGCGGAGUGACAGGCAUACAAGGGCCACAGCAGCCACCGCACACCGGCACUCCAGGGUAGCUGCAUCUCUUCGGCGAGCACACGGCUGGUUCUGUGCAGCAGUAGCAGGGGCAUGGCUUGCAUCGGUUGGGACGACAGCAAGGAAUAGCACACGUGUCGCACAGGGGCAUCGGCCUCGGCACAGGAGUUACAGGCUAAGAUAAGAAACACCAGAAUAAAAAUUAUAUGUUUAUGCCGAUUCCCUCCAAUAUAAAGACUAUUUUACUAGAAUACAUGUUGUGAUAUUUUUUUAUGAGGACCAGGACAAACGAGAGUACGGGUCGCAUCAUGUUCAGUGAUCACCGCCGCCCACAUUCUCUUGUAACACCAGAGUAAUCACAGGAGUGUUGCCGACCUUUUAGAAAGCUGUACGCGCUUUUUUUGAAGGCACCUAUAAAGUAUCUUCCCGCACAAGGGACCUCAUUCCACAGCUUUGUUGUUCGUGGAAGAAAGUUCCUUGAACACCGCACUGAUAUUAAAAGAAAAAACUUAUUUGAUGAACAGAUCUCCGUGAUCUUUAUAUCUUUUCAGGUAACAGUAGCAUGGUUAAACAUGUUUUAGCCAUUAAUGAGUAUGACGCAUCAAAAGAACAAUUACUAAUAAGUAAUAUCUAAGAUUGGUAUACCUUAUCACAGGGAGGACAUGGCGGCAAGCACGGCAGGAUUGGAGGAGCUG